rnacentral:rRNA from 1 species
GCAAAUAAGAGUUUGAUCCUAGCUUUGAGUGAAUGCUAUGAAUAUACAUAACACAUGCAAGUUAAAUUUGAAAAAAAUAGCGUAUAGGUGAGUAAUAUAUAAGAAUUUUAAUUUCUAACUUAGAAAUAAGAAGUAUUUAAUUUUUAAGAAAGUACAUCUUAAAAGUGUGUGAUAUACUGAUAAAGAUAUUUGUUAGUAAUCGUGCUUAUUAAAUUUUAAGUUGUUGGUAGUAAAAAAGACUACCAAGCUCAAAAUGUUUAGCUGGUUUAAGUGAAUGUACAGCCACACUGGGAUUGAAAUAAAGCCCAAUUCUUAAGAGAAACUGCAGUGAGGAAUAUUGGACAAUGAACAAAAAGUUUGAUCCAGUAAUAUUCAAAAAAUGAUGAAGGCAUCUGUUGUAAAAUUGUAACGUUUGUAAAAAUAAUGAUAUACAACAAACUAUUAACCCCGACUAAUUUCGUGCCAGCAGUCGCGGUAAUACGGAAGGGGUGAGUGUUACUCAUCAAAACUGGGCGUAAAGGGUACGAAGGCGGUUUAUUAUGUGAAAAUAAAAGUCUAAAGUACAACUUUAUAUAAUUAUUUUACACACGGAUAAACUUUGAGUAUAGUAGAAGUGUGUUGCACUUUCAGUGGAGAGAUAAAAUACGUAAAUAUUGUAAAGACAAUCAAUAGGUGAAGACGACUAGCUAUACUAUUACUGACGCUGUAGGGCAAAAGCAUGGGUUUCGAACAGGAUUAGAUACCCUGGUAGUCCAUGCUGUGACUUGAUGAAUAUUAUGUAUUAAAUAAUUAUUUUUGGUAUAUAAGUUAACGCGCAAAUAUUCCGCCUGGGGACUACAAUCGCAAGCUUGAAACUCAAAGGAAUUGACAGAGGUUAUCUCAAGCAGUGGAACAUGUGGUUUAAUGCGAUAUAAAACGUCAAAUCUUACCAGUGAUUGCAAUUGCUAACAAGUAUGUAGAAAGGAAUUUCUAAAAAGAAUAAAAUUAAUUUUAUUAACUAUUAGCACAGGUACUGCAUGGCUGUCGUCAGUUCGUGCCAUGAGGUGUUUGGUUAAUUCCCUAAACGGACACAAUUCUUAUAUUUUAUUGGUCUUAUCUUUAAAAAUAGGUAAGUAUUUAAAAUAAAUGCUACGAAAGUAGAGCUAUGAAAUAGAGAACAAAGUCAAGUCAAUAUGGUCUUUAUGAACUGGGCUACACACAUGUUACAAUAGUUAUACCAAUAAGAAGCAAAUAUGUAAAUAUGCGCGAAUCUUUAAAGUUAACUUUAGUUCGGAUUGUUCUCUGAAACUUGAGGAUAUGAAGUCGGAAUUGCUAGUAAUCGUAAAUCAGGAAGUUACGGUGAACCGUGUAUAAACCUGGUACAUACUGCCCGUCACGCCAAGGAAAUUAGGAUGAACUGAAGUAAAGAUAUUUGAUUUUAUAUAAAAAUUUACUUAAUAAAAUGUUUAAGUAAAUUUUUAAUAAAGUAACUUACUUUAUAAUUUUUAUUUUAGUAACUAGGGCGAAGUCGUAACAAGGUAACUGUAGGGGAACUAAGUUCAUUUUAGUUACUUU